rnacentral:piRNA from 1 species
AUGGCUCAGAGGUUAAGAGCGCUGA